UACGUAGGUGGCAAGCGUUGUCCGGAUUUACUGGGCGUAAAGAGCGCGCAGGCGGUCGGAUAAGUCGAAUGUGAAACCCCCCGGCUCAACUGGGGAGGGUCAUUCGAUACUGUUCGACUCGAAGGCAGGAGAGGGAAGUGGAAUUCCCGGUGUAGUGGUGAAAUGCGUAGAUAUCUGGAGGAACACCGGUGGCGAAGGCGGCAUCCUGGACCAACACUGACACUGAGGAGCGAAAGCCAGGGGAGCAAACGGG
rnacentral:rRNA from 1 species